rnacentral:rRNA from 1 species
ACAUGUCUCUUUGAUUUAUUUUAAUAAAGAGUUGGGCCUGCUCGGUGAUUAAUAUUUAACAGCUGCGGUAUUAUAACUGUACUAAGGUAGCAUAAUAAUUUGCCUUAUAAAUUGAGGCUAGAAUGAAUGGUUUGACGAAAAUUAUACUGUCUCUGUCUUAUUUAUUAGAAGUUAAUUUUUAUAGUGAGAAAGCUUGGAUAAUUUAAAGGGACGAAAAGACCCUAUUGAGCUUUAUAUUAUACUUUAAAAUUAUUUAUUGUUUUUAUUUAAAUAUAAUUUUGGUUGGGGUGAUCAAGGAAUAAAUAAUUAAUUUUAACUUCCUUAAUUUGUUUAUAGUUAUAUGAAUAAACCAAAUUUUUUGCUUAGAAGAUAAGUUACCAUAGGGAUAACAGCGUAAUUUUUUUUGAAAGUUCAUAUUGAAAAAAGAGAUUGCGACCUCGAUGUUGGAUUAAAAUAACCUUAAGGUGAAGAGGCUUUAAUUGGUGAAUCUGUUCGAUUUUUAAAAUUUUACGUGAUC